AGCGAACGCUGGCGGCAGGCCUAACACAUGCAAGUCGAACGAAGUCUUCGGACUUAGUGGCGGACGGGUGAGUAACACGUGGGAACGUGCCUUUAAGUUCGGAAUAACUCAGGGAAACUUGUGCUAAUACCGAAUGUGCCCUUCGGGGGAAAGAUUUAUCGCCUUUAGAGCGGCCCGCGUCUGAUUAGCUAGUUGGUGAGGUAAAGGCUCACCAAGGCGACGAUCAGUAGCUGGUCUGAGAGGAUGAUCAGCCACAUUGGGACUGAGACACGGCCCAAACUCCUACGGGAGGCAGCAGUGGGGAAUCUUGCGCAAUGGGCGAAAGCCUGACGCAGCCAUGCCGCGUGAAUGAUGAAGGUCUUAGGAUUGUAAAAUUCUUUCACCGGGGAUGAUAAUGACGGUACCCGGAGAAGAAGCCCCGGCUAACUUCGUGCCAGCCGCCGCAGUAAGAC
rnacentral:rRNA from 1 species